rnacentral:rRNA from 1 species
GAUGAACGCUGGCGGCGUGCCUAAUACAUGCAAGUCGAGCGAACGGACGAGAAGCUUGCUUCUCUGAUGUUAGCGGCGGACGGGUGAGUAACACGUGGAUAACCUACCUAUAAGACUGGGAUAACUUCGGGAAACCGUAGCUAAUACCGGAUAAUAUUUUGAACCGCAUGGUUCAAAAGUGAAAGACGGUCUUGCUGUCACUUAUAGAUGGAUCCGCGCCGCAUUAGCUAGUUGGUAAGGUAACGGCUUACCAAGGCAACGAUGCAUAGCCGACCUGAGAGAGUGAUCGACCACACGGGAGGUGAGACACGGUCCAGACUCCUGAGGGAGGCAGCAGUAGGGAAUCGUACGCAAUAGGCGGAAGCCUUGCAGAACGACGCCGCGUGAGUGGUGAAGGUCUUCGGAUCGUAAAACUCUGUUAUUAGGGAAGAACAUAUGUGUAAGUAACUGUGCACAGCUUGACGGUACCUAAUCAGAAAGCCACGGCUAACUACGUG